rnacentral:rRNA from 1 species
UGGGGAAUAUUGGACAAUGGGGGAAACCCUGAUCCAGCAAUGCCGCGUGAGUGAAGAAGGCCUUAGGGUUGUAAAACUCUUUCAGAAGUGAAGAUGAUGACUGUAACUUCAGAAGAAGCUCCGGCUAACUCCGUGCCAGCAGCCGCGGUAAUACGGAGGGAGCUAGCGUUGUUCGGAAUUACUGGGCGUAAAGGGCGUGUAGGCUGUAUGGUAAGUCAGAGGUGAAAUCCCUAAGCUUAACUUAGGAACUGCCUUUGAUACUAUCAUGCUAGAGAUCGAGAGAGGUUAGUGGAAUUCCAAGUGUAGAGGUGAAAUUCGUAGAUAUUUGGAAGAACACCAGUGGCGAAAGCGACUAACUGGCUCGUUUCUGACGCUGAGACGCGAAAGCGUGGGUAGCAAACAGG